ACCACACAAACUUCCCUCAUGUGUGGAGAGAGACAAAGGGGCCCUCUGGUCCUCCUGUUCUGCGUUAAUUAUGCUGAGUUCCACACUGGGACCCCAAGGCCUGGGAACCACCGGGUGGGUGUCAGAGAAAUGGUGGACGUGGACCCCAAAGCCACUUAGGGCUGUUUGCUGAUUGGAUGCAGCAGGGGUCAGACCAUUCGCCUGUGACGUUUUCUUCUCUUUAUAACAGUGGCGGGAGUGUCCCUGUGAGAGGCCAGGUGUGGGCCACGCAUCCAGCCCGGGGUCCAAUGGGUGUUCCUGGGGUGCUGGGGGAUUUGUGACACCCCAAAGAGAUAGAGCUAAAUUUAGGUGGCUUUGAAAAGGGAAGGCCAGGUUACCAGGGACUGGGUGUUUUCACUUCAGGCAGUGAACUGACGGUUUUAGAUACCCAGAAGGGAGCUUCCCACGUGGGAUCGAAAGACGCCAAGAGAACUGGCCCGCCUGCAGGUCUUAAGCCCCUCUUGCACUGCCUAUGUUGGGAGGGGCAUGGCAAUGGGAAAGGUGAGGGAAUGGGGGUCAGAGUGCAAGGGCGAGGUGAGCCCAGCGGAUGACUAGCGUUACUAUGGCAACCCUACUGACAAUGCUAUGAGAGGCUCCCCGCCUCACGCUGGUCUGCGGAAAAUCAAGCUUUGGAAAUGAGCCUUGAAGGAGGAAUGCUGGGAAGAUGAGAUGUCACAGACAGUGGAUCUGGUCAAGUUGUUUCCUCGCAGGCCGGCUUUGAAGACCCGGCAGACCACUGUUCUGGCCAGGGAGGAGAAAGGCAGUGAGCUCAUGACACCACGCCUUAAGGCCCAUGGGAUCAUUCUGUGCCCCAGGGAGGCUGUCCCAGCCUCACUAGAUUGUAACCCCAUCCCUGCUCGCUCUGCGGGACCCAAAAUCCCAUGGGAAGAGGAGUCUGGAAUGCCCUGAAGCUCCACCUCCACCGGGCACCGAAGAAGGUUCAAGGAGGUCCAGAGUACAGGACUCCCAGGGGACUGGCACUGGGUAGUAAGGCAGCCCACUCUUUCAUGCAUCCCCCUAUAUGCCCCCCACCCAGCUUCGGAUGCUGCAGUCCCCGCAGCCCCCGCCACCGCAGCAGGCGCUGCCAUUUUUGAGGAAGCCACAAACUGACUUCCAGGAGCCCAACUAGAUUCGGUUUAGAAAAUGCGCAUGUGCGAGGCACGAGGCGAUUCUCGCGUCACAGUGACCCCCAUCAUCGCCCAGGGGAUGGAUGGGUCCCUGAUGCUUGGAGAAGCAGGAGCCCUCCGUGGCAGUGCCUAGGCGUUAAGGCUCCAGCCUAACCUCUCCCGGGGGUCGACAGGAUGGUUUUUGGACGCCGGGAGUCGCGGAGGGCCGACCGGGAUGAAGAAACCUCAGGAGCGGAGCGCAAGUCGGCCUAGCCAAUGCGCAUGCGCGGUGCACGAGCUGAUUUCUCAAGGCACAGUGACUCCCACCGUCGCUCGAGUGAUGGGUCCAUGAGGCUGGGCGAAGCAGGAGCCCACUGUGGCAGUGCGUCGGUAUCGAGGCUCCAGCCUGACCUCUCCCAGGGGUCAACAGGAUGGUCUCCGGACGCCAGGAGUCGCGGAGGGCCGACCAGGUUUGUGAAGGCCGGUUCGACCUGGGGAGCUGCGUUGGUCCCACAGGGAUUGAAACCUCCCCAUCCUGAGCGUCCUACUUUCGAGGAUCAAGACAACCACACCACACCCAAGGACCAAAGCCUCCCAGGAGCUUAUUGUCCUGCAGGAGUGCGUGCAGACCAACAUCAAAGAAGAUGGUUCUAACUCCUCCCACCUCCCACCUUCUCCUCUCAUUAAGAAAUGUAGCCCCACCGCGACAGUCUUGGAGAAGAAGCCGGGAACGGGACGCGGCAAGGAUCUCUGUGACUUAAAUCUGGCCUUUCUGGCCCAGUCUCCCAUUUGGCACUUCUUCCUGGAUGCGCAUGGUAGUGGCAUUGUGCUGUAUCCUGCCUGGGCUGUGGCCUCUGCUCUGUACUCCCUCUUGCUCUAUCUGCCAUAGGAGCCUAGAGGCUUGGUCUGGCUUAAAGUCUUCAACAAAGAACACUUUGGAGUCCGUGAGGGAGAAAUUUCGUGGAGAUCCGUUUCACAGUUGUUUCCCUCUCCAAACCUAUUUCUGGUCGAUUAGGCAGGUGCCAUGAUCCUCUGGGCUUCCAUACCUGUCUUGGACAGGGAAGCUCCCUUGGUCUCCAUGUCCCACCUGAUGGCUGCGUGGUUUGUUUCAGUCUAGGAUGAGCGAGUCUCGCUGUGUCACCCAGGCCGGAGUGCAGUGGUGCGAUGCACCAUCUCGGCUCUCGGCACGCUGCAACCUUCGCAACCUCUGCCUCCCGGGUUCAGUCGAUUCUCUUGACUCAGCCUCCUGCGAUUGGACUACAGGCAUGCA
rnacentral:lncRNA from 1 species